rnacentral:rRNA from 1 species
GCGGGUUUACGACCUCGAUGUUGGAUCAGGGUAUCCCAGUGGUGCAGCCGCUACUAAAGGUUCGUUUGUUCAACGAUUAAAACCCUACGUGAUCUGAGUUCAGACCGGAGUAAUCCAGGUCAGUUUCUAUCUAUAAGGAGCUUUUUCUAGUACGAAAGGACCGAAAAAACAUGGCCUAUGCAGGAUACAAGCCAUACUUAAUAAUUUAUGAUUAAAACUCAAUAAAUACUUAACCUAUUAUUCAACUCUAAACAAGAGUAGUU